rnacentral:misc_RNA from 1 species
UACGUAGGUGGCAAGCGUUACUCGGAAUCACUAGGCGUAAAGCGCAGGUAGGCGGUCUGGCAAGUCCGUUGUGAAAGCUCCCGGCUUAACUGGGAGAGGCCAACGGAAACUGCUGGGCUUGAGUGUGGUAGAGGAAACUAGAAUUCCCGGUGUAGCGGUGAAAUGCGUAGAUAUCGGGAGGAAUACCUAUGGCGAAAGCAGGUUUCUGGGCCACCACUGACGCUGAGCUGCGAAAGCUAGGGGAGCAAACAGG